CAGAAUUUGGCUUCUAAUGAAGGAAACAAUCCUUCUGGCAAGGGACUGGUUUUCUGACUUGCAUUUCCUCCUUUAAUUUCUAGGGACCAGAUUCUGAUACCCUUACUCUCCCUCACAUGUGGGGGAUGUCGUGUUCUUAACAGUACCUUGACAUGAAAGAUGGCAGCCGCCAUGAAGGAAACUCUGAGCCAGCCACUGCCAUGAAAACACUGAAUCUUCACAGACCAAAAUGAUCCACAGAGGGAAGAUGAAGGAAAGACCCAAAAGAAAGCAGCAUAGUGCUACAGAAGGAGCAUAGGAGAGAAAUUAUGAAUAAAGAGAGAUAUCCCAUUGUCUGAAACUGGGCUGCAGGCUAGGACUGGGAAACAAUUAAUCAGAUGAGGUGGGUCAGCUCGUUAGGUUCUCCGAGGAAAAGCCCGUGGCUCCUUUAUUUGAAUUGAUUUGUUUGCUUGCUAGGCUUAAGUCAUUGAUUUAUAAUAUGAAAGACUCAUAAUUCCUACCUAAUUCUAUAAUUUGAUUUAUGUUCACCGUGGAGUUAUUUGUAUUCUGUUAAUAUGACUGUAGAGAAUAGCAAAGCAGGCUGGGAUACCUGAAA